rnacentral:sRNA from 1 species
UUUGCUUUCUAGUUCUCUGCUCACCAGCCAGCCCCAUUGUGUACAGGGAGCCUUAUGGCUCACAGUGAAAAUUUGUAGGCAGGGACUGGGUUCUACUGUGAGCUGAGAUCCCUGGAGCUCCAUGAAAAGGAGAAAAAGAAUGCCAUGUUUCCUGGAUCUAUGGAGGGAAUCCCAGGAUUUCCUGGAAACCGAGGAUUAAUGGGCCAAAAGGGAGAAAUUGGGCCUCCAGGACAGCAAGGAAAAAAAGGAGCCCCAGGGAUGCCUGGUUUAAUGGGAAGCAAUGGCUCACCAGGUCAGCCUGGAACACCAGGAUCUAAGGGAAGCAAAGGUGAACCUGGAAUUCAAGGGAUGCCUGGGGCUUCUGGGCUCAAGGGAGAACCAGGAGCAAUGGGUUCCCCAGGAGAACCAGGAUACAUGGGUUUACCCGGGAUUCAAGGAAAAAAGGGGGACAAAGGAAAUCAAGGUGAAAAAGGUAUUCAGGGUCAAAAGGGAGAAAAUGGAAGACAGGGAAUUCCAGGGCAACAGGGAAUUCAAGGUCAUCAUGGCGCAAAAGGAGAGAGGUGAAAAGGGAGAACCUGGUGUCCGAGGUGCCAUUGGAUCAAAAGGAGAAUCUGGGGUGGAUGGCUUGAUGGGGCCCGCAGGUCCUAAGGGGCAACCUGGGGAUCCAGGUCCUCAGGGACCCCCAGGUUUGGAUGGGAAGCCCGGAAGAGAGUUUUCAGAACAAUUUAUUCGACAAGUUUGCACAGAUGUAAUAAGAGCCCAGCUACCGGUCUUACUUCAGAGUGGAAGAAUUAGAAAUUGUGAUCAUUGCCAGUCCCAACAUGGCUCCCCGGGUAUUCCUGGGCCACCUGGUCCGAUAGGCCCAGAGGGUCCCAGAGGAUUACCUGGUUUGCCAGGAAGAGAUGGUGUUCCUGGAUUAGUGGGUGUCCCUGGACGUCCAGGCGUCAGAGGAUUAAAAGGCCUACCAGGAAGAAAUGGGGAAAAAGGGAGCCAAGGGUUUGGGCAUCCUGGAGAACAAGGCCCUCCUGGUCCCCCAGGUCCAGAGGGCCCUCCUGGAAUAAGUAAAGAAGGUCCUCCAGGAGACCCAGGUCUCCCUGGCAAAGAUGGAGAUCAUGGAAAACCUGGAAUCCAAGGGCAACCAGGCCCCCCAGGCAUUUGCGACCCAUCACUAUGUUUUAGUGUAAUUGCCAGAAGAGAUCCGUUCAGAAAAGGACCAAACUAUUAGUGUCUGAUGCCUCAUUCAGCAGCCUAGGCAUGGUGCUUUUUCUGUGGUCUUUUGCAUCUCAGGAAGAUAACCAACAGUAAUCCCUUGAAAAGAAACUUAAGUACCUCGGUGUUUUUAUUUUUUUUUCUUAUGGAAAAAAAUAUAAAAGGUCACAUACUGAUUUUAAAGGCUCCUCAGUCAUUUGGAGCCCUUGGAUUAGCAGCAUUAAUUAAAUCUCAAGGGUUUCUUGUAAAGUCCAUUUAUGUUAAUCAAAGUUGAAUAUAAAAAUCCACCAUUGCCUGUUAGCCAGUCAAUUUUAGUCACUGUGAAAUAUUUCACAUUCAGCCUCCAUGCAAUAGAGAUUUGAGUUUAAUUUCAUGUCCAUGUGACUUCCAUGUUUCAUAUCUCAUAGCUCAUGCUACUACAUAAGCCAAAACAUGUAUCUCAUCAUUGGAAGUAAGAUUAGGGCUGAUAUUCACCUGGGAUAGACAGUAUUGGUGAACUACUCAUUUACUACAGUGUCUCAGCCUUGAUAAGGGGCAGUGGAUUGCCUGUUGUUCAGUGUUGUGAAUAGCACCUCUGAAUAUGAUUAGUGUGUUUCUUAAUUCAUUUCAAACUCUAAAAUUAGAUUAAUGGUGGUGCUAAGAAAGAGUAUUAAUUACUUUGGGAAUGGUCAAAAUUAACAUUAAAAACAUUUUAGACAAAAAGUUUCAUUGUACAUUCGAAGAAAAUGUAAGUUCAGAAGUACUAAAAGACUGUAUUUUAUACUUGUUGAUUAAUCAGAAUGUUUGUUGUAUGCCUUCAUUUUCCAUUUCACUUAUAUGUGUAUGUCCAUAUAUGUUAAUUUUCAUUGUAGCAAAGCUAAUGGAAAUAAAGCUAAUGCUCUAGUUGAAAGAAAAGGAAAACUCCUGAAAUCCUAGAAUGUCUUGUUAUUUUUAGCUGACUGUAAAAUAUUAUGAACAGUCUUUGUGUAUUGUUCUUAAUGCUUUUGUAAGAAACAGAAUUUGAAAUAUUUCAUCCUUGUCAUGCUCAAAAUUUUGUUACAUGCUUGUUAUUCAGAGUAUAAUAAAAUUUUAUACAAGCCUG